UCAUUCAUUUCGUUUGUUUUGUCACCGGCCAGCUAUACACAAGGGAAACUCCCAAGAAUUGGAAGCUGGCUGGAUCAGACGGAAGCAGCCAGCUAACAAUCAAGGAACCGUUAGCAAAUAUGGUCCUCUUAGAUUACAUCUCAUCUGAAAAAUGGCAAGAUGUGGUGGACUUCGACGAUCACCUCGACGAUAUUAGCAAGGAUUGGUUGAACCCAGACCUCUUCAAGUAGAGAAAGAUCUUUUCUUCAUAGUUGCAAGGCUUGAUUGCUCUUAGAAGGAUUGGUUGGAAACUGGAGGCUUCUUGUGCUUCAAUUACUCAUAUUGUUAGAUGUAUUGGUAUUAAAGUAUUCAACCAAUUUUAUCUCAUUAGACUUCGAUUACUCGUC